UACAGAGGUGGCAAGCGUUGUUCGGAAUUACUGGGCGUAAAGCGCGCGUAGGCGGCCCGAUAAGUCCGCUGUAAAAGUCAACGGCUCAACUGUUGAAAGCCGGUGGAUACUGUCGGGCUAGAGUACGGAAGAGGCAAGCGGAAUUCCUGGUGUAGGCGUGGAAGUGCGCAGAUAGUCAGGAGGAACACCUAUAGCGAAGGCAGCUUGCUGGGACGUUACUGACACUAAGCGCGAAGCGUGGGA
rnacentral:rRNA from 1 species